rnacentral:lncRNA from 1 species
GUGGGAUUGCAGACCAGCAAACUGGGGUGAAGAAGUUGAAAUUUUUUUACACUUGAAAUAACAACAUGAGUGAUGUUAAGUAGAAAAGGUUAAACACAUUGAAAUAAAUGUAUUAAUUCAUUAAUUUUACUCAUGCUGUCCCUUUUCUCAAAGCACCAGGCCACACCAUAAUAGCUACAUCUGCUUCUGUUGUACAUAUUGUUUAGUUCUAGUUUUGUUGGCUCAGAGAAUAGAAACUGGUCUUUCUGUGGGGAAACAAAGAAUUUGUUUUUGUAAAUUGCCAUUUUUUUCCUGAAUAAAUCAUGACAAACUUGGCAGGUUGAACAGAUCAGCCAUAUGGAAUUUGGCAAUUUUUAGUCUGCUAAGGAUAAUUAAACAUGGAUGUUAUGUAGUCUAAUGAGAUACAUGUUUGUGGUACAGGGGAGAAGCAGAGACACAAACUGAAGAGAUGGCACUCAGGAAAAAAUGUGUCUUUAGGCAGAUUUGGAACUGGUGACAAAUAAGAAAUCUGAAGCAUUUUCAGACACACUUAACAGGCUAAGAGCAAAAUCAGAGAUCUCAGAGAGUGGCAGCAGAGGCUUGUCUCACCAGUCCAAAUGCUCUGAAGUCAUUCCCACGGCUUGUAAAGCUGUGAGUAUUUUGACAGGAUUCAGUAAUUACCUCUUCUUUUUAAAGUAGGAAACAGUAAUAA